rnacentral:rRNA from 1 species
CAAUAGCGUAUAUUAAAGUUGUUGCAGUUAAAAAGCUCGUAGUUGGAUUUCUGGCAGGAGCGACCGGUCGCACGCUAUGCGUGUGAACUUGUGUUGUCUCUGGCCAUCCUUGGGGAGAUCCCGUUUGGCAUUAAGUUGUCGGGCGGGGGGAUACCCAUCGUUUACUGUGAAAAAAUUAGAGUGUUUAAAAGCAGGCUUAUGCCGUUGAAAUAUAUUAGCAUGGAAUAAUAAGAUAGGACUUUGGAACUAUUUUGUUGGUUUGCGUUACAAAAGUAAUGAUUAAUAGGGACAGUUGGGGGUAUUCGUAUUUCGUUGUCAGAGGUGAAAAUUCUUGGAUUUCCGAAAAGAC